UACGUAGGGGGGCUAGCGUUGUCCGGAAUUAUUGGGCGUAAAGAGCUCGUAGGCGGUCUGUCGCGUCUGCUGUGAAAACUCAGGGCUUAACCCUGAGCUUGCAGUGGGUACGGGCAGACUAGAGUGCGGUAGGGGAGACUGGAAUUCCUGGUGUAGCGGUGAAAUGCGCAGAUAUCAGGAGGAACACCGGUGGCGAAGGCGGGUCUCUGGGCCGUAACUGACGCUGAGGAGCGGAAAGCAUGGGGAGCGAACAGG
rnacentral:rRNA from 1 species